AUACGGAGGGCGCAAGCGUUGUUCGGAAUCAUUGGGCGUAAAGCGCGUGUAGGCGGCUUGGUAAGUCGGACGUGAAAGCCCGGGGCUCAACCCCGGAAUUGCGUUCGAAACUGCCUCGCUAGAGUCCCGGAGAGGAGGGCGGAAUUCCCGGUGUAGAGGUGAAAUUCGUAGAUAUCGGGAGGAACACCAGCGGCGAAGGCGGCCCUCUGGACGGCGACUGACGCUGAGACGCGAAAGCGUGGGGAGCAAACAGGAUUAGAUACCCCGGUAGUCC
rnacentral:rRNA from 1 species